rnacentral:rRNA from 1 species
GGGGCAGCGGGGGAGUAGCAAUACUCCCGCCGGCGACCGGCGCACGGGUGAGUAACACGUAUGAAACCUGCCCGUAGCAGGGGGAUAAGCGGAAGAAAUUCCGUCUAAUACCGCGUAACAACCCUUGGAGGCAUCUCCUCGGGUUUAAAGGGAGCGAUUCCGGCUACGGAUGGUCAUGCGUCGCAUUAGCUUGUUGGCGGGGUAACGGCCCACCAAGGCGACGAUGCGUAGGGGUUCUGAGAGGAAGGUCCCCCACACUGGUACUGAGACACGGACCAGACUCCUACGGGAGGCAGCAUUGAGGAAUAUUGGUCAAUGGCCGCAGGGCUGAACCAGCCAAGUCGCGUGAGGGAUGACGGUCCUAUGGAUUGUAAACCUCUUUUGUCAGGGAGCAAAGGGCGCCCCGUGUGGCGUUUUGCGAGUACCUGAAGAAAAAGCAUCGGCUAACUCCGUGCCACCAGCCGCGGUAAUACGGAGGAUGCGAGCGUCAUCCGGAUUUAUUGGGUUUAAAGGGUGCGCACGCGGAAUGUCAAGUCAGCGGUAAAAUUUCGGGGCUCAACCCCGUCGUGCCGUUGAAACUGGCGUUCUUGAGUGAGCGAGAAGUAUGCGGAAUGCGUGGUGUAGCGGUGAAAUGCAUAGAUAUCACGCAGAACUCCGAUUGCGAAGGCAGCAUACCGGCGCUCAACUGACGCUCAUGCACGAAAGCGUGGGUAUCGAACAGGAUUAGAUACCCUGGUAGUCCACGCAGUAAACGAUGAAUACUAACUGUCCGGGCAGAAUGAUGUCUGGGUGGUACAGCGAAAGCGUUAAGUAUUCCACCUGGGGAGUACGCCGGCAACGGUGAAACUCAAAGGAAUUGACGGGGGCCCGCACAAGCGGAGGAACAUGUGGUUUAAUUCGAUGAUACGCGAGGAACCUUACCCGGGCUCAAACGACGGAUGGAUGUUUUUGAAAGAAGGCAGCCCUUCGGGGCAUCCGUCGAGGUGCUGCGUGGUUGUCGUCAGCUCGUGCCGUGAGGUGUCGGCUUAAGUGCCAUAACGAGCGCAACCCCCAUCGCCAGUUACCAGCAAGUAAAGUUGGGGACUCUGGCGAGACUGCCGGCGCAAGCUGUGAGGAAGGCGGGGAUGACGUCAAAUCAGCACGGCCCUUACGUCCGGGGCGACACACGUGUUACAAUGGCAGGUACAGAGAGAAGCGAUGCGGCGACGCAGAGCGGAACUUCAAAGCCUGUCUCAGUUCGGAUUGGAGUCUGCAACCCGACUCCAUGAAGCUGGAUAGGGUAGUAAUCGCGCAUCAGCCACGGCGCGGUGA